CCCUUCCCUUCCCUAGAGGCCGGGAUUACGUAACGGCGCCGGAGCGAGCAGCUGCAGGAUUACACCAUGCGGAUUAGGGAUUACGUUGAUUCAGCAGAUUGUCCCGUGCAUGUCUGAGAAAGAUUACACCAGCAGAGUUAAGAAUACCCGUUUGCUCUGAGCAAAGUGUAGCUGUGAGCCAGCUCCAGAGGACGCCUUUGGGUGGGGACCUUGCUGUUACAGCCCAAUAUCACAGGGAAGUACCAUUUCAGAUUUUCUUGUAUGGACAGGACACUUAAAAAGCUAGAGAAGCCACCUGAGGUCCCAUGAAAACCAGAACCAUCUACUUAUAAAGUGCUGUUGCCUCUGACCAAAACCAAGAAUUGUUGUUGGAAUAAUAUGCGAACAGAUCAUGAAGAACUCUGUGGCACCAGUUAUGGAUCUUUUUGUCUAAAUGGAGGGAUUUGUUAUAUGAUUCCUACUGUAUCCAGUCCAUUCUGCAGGUGUAUCGAGAAUUACACAGGAGCUCGUUGUGAGGAAGUUUUGCUGCCCAGCAUCAAAUCCCAAACAAAAGGUGACCUGUUUGCAGCUUUCUUGGCUUCCCUUCUUCUUCUAGGAGUUCUUGUAAUUGGAGCAUUCUACUUCCUUUGCAGAAAAGUUUCCAUCCCAAGGACAAGCUCUUCAGAGUGUGGUGCCAACCUAGUUGAAACUACAAGCAGCAAUGGCUGCAACAAAAUAACAACAGCCUAAAGCGUUAGAGUGGAAGAAUGGUGGGGAAACAACACGCAGAGCGACCCUAAGAAUCCAAGUUGCAGAGGGUGACAUGGAUUUCCCCAGAGGAGCUGAAGCCUGUUUUGAUUCAAUAGUUUCAAAACUGUAUUUGUGAUACAUGUCCAGAAUUUGGCUUGUUUCAGAUAACCUUACCAGAUGUAGGGGGAAAACCCCUGCCUUUCUCCCAGCUAAUACUUAUGUUUGCUUUUUUAAAAAUUGUCACACAACAUCAGCACAAGGUACCACUGGUGGUUUAUUGCCCAGCUUCCCGGCACAUGAUUUUAAUUCAAAUUAAAGGGAAAUAUUAAGAAGAGAGAUUGAUAAUGGUUAAAAAAGUUUUUUAGGCAGAGUUUAGUACUCCUAAUACCAAGCAAGACAUCUCCCUUGAUGGUUUUUAAUUUUGUCUGGCUUUCUUCUGAAAAUCUCACUACUGAGGGAAAUUCAAACCUUACCUUGAAUGUUCAGUAGAUAUUUCAGACAGCAGAAAUCAGGAAUUUUGUUCAUUUUUGACACAAAAUAUCCAGACAGGUGUCUUGGCUGAAAAAAUGCUGCCCUCUCCAAAGAUUUAUUUCUUUUAUUCACAUAAGCAUCUGUUGAUCACGCUAAUAUAUUCCACACUUUGGUCCCUUACAGGAUUCCCUUACCCAGACAAAGAGAGGCCACCUGCCAUGGUCCAUGUCUUUUUUGUCUUCACAACACAGAGAGAAUGUCUGAUUAGUCAGAGGCAUAGAAAACACGAACUGAACAAUUUUCUUUUCAAUAACUGGAGGCUGAAACCAGCAAAAAAUCAGAUAUGUUUUCAUAAUGGCACAUUACCAAGCAGGUCAUUAUAUGGGAUUUUUAAGGUUGUUUUGAAGGGAAGAUUAGCUGAGAAAAUUCAUGAAUUGAAAGGAGAGAAAAUUCAGAACAGAGCUUUCUCCAAAAGAAACAAUCUGAAGUUGUAUAAAAACAUAGGCACAGAGAAAAUGUUGAAUAAGCUCCUAUUUCUAUGAUGUCUACUACAUGCUCUAGUGUCAGAAAAAGCAGUGUGUACUUUGUGUCAAGGUAGACAAAGGCACAGUGGGACAGGGGAGAAAAGGCUUGUGGGUACAGUGCAUAGGGUGAGAAGACAAAGAGAAAUCACGUUACAAUGGUUACUAGAACACAAAACAGAAUAAUUCAUUACCUUCUGAAAACUCCUGUCAGAGAGGUCAGAGCCCAAGUUAGCGCUCAGCAUGUGAAAGGAGAAUCUUGGGACACCAAACCAGGUAGAGAACCUGAUCCAGAGACAAAGUUAUAUAAAGCACUACAAGAUAAGUUUCUCCCAAAAUUAAUCAGUCUUACAUUUCAUUUUCUGUACCUCAAAUCUUUAGCAGAUAAGCUGAAGGAAGCUGAUAAUAUUGUUUUAAAGACUAGGAAGGAUAAAAGUUAUUUUUCAUCACACAGGGACAGGCGGUGUUGUACAGAGUUCAGGAGAUAUGUAGCAGUAUUGACAGCUACAUCAGAAUUGGUGUUACCUGAAGUACUUUGCACAGCCUCAGUGAAAAUUAAUCAGAGAUGACAGCUAGUAGAUCACUUUGCUGUGUUAUUGAUCAUGAGCAUGUCAGGCUUACAGUUUGGUAAACUCUCCUCUGAAGAAUCUUAAGUGCAAAUUCAGGAAGGAGAUACAAAUAGAAGAUGGAAGAAAUAAAUGGACUGAAUUUGUUCUGUAUAAGCUCUUAGAAUCCUCUCAGCUUUCUAGACAGACAUGGAAUAAUUAUUCAUUGUUACUGAGCAUUAUUUGGGAAACAAGCUGUACAAAAAGUGGGGCUGAAUAAACUGACCUCAUGUUUAAAUGUGAACAGGCUGAUUUAUGAAACACUGUUACGUGUGAAGGAAAUGCUAUUAGCAAUUCAGAUCGCCUCAAACCCAUUGCAUCUGAGAACAUUUCAGCUUCUAAAAUGAUUUCAUUUCACAGACUUUGUGGCUAUGAUGUUCAAAUCAAAAUGACAUCAGACUACAAAUUCAUUUUAAGGUGGUCAAAUGCCACAGAAAAUACAGGGUAGCCAACAUGAUAUAUAAUUUAA